AGAGUUUGAUCCUGGCUCAGAUUGAACGCUGGCGGAAUGCUUUACACAUGCAAGUCGAACGGCAGCACGGGGGCAACCCUGGUGGCGAGUGGCGAACGGGUGAGUAAUACAUCGGAACGUGCCCAGUCGUGGGGGAUAACGUAGCGAAAGCUACGCUAAUACCGCAUACGAACUCUGGUUGAAAGCGGGGGAUCGCAAGACCUCGCGCGAUUGGAGCGGCCGAUGGCAGAUUAGGUAGUUGGUGGGGUAAAGGCUCACCAAGCCGACGAUCUGUAGCUGGUCUGAGAGGACGACCAGCCACACUGGGACUGAGACACGGCCCAGACUCCUACGGGAGGCAGCAGUGGGGAAUUUUGGACAAUGGGCGCAAGCCUGAUCCAGCCAUUCCGCGUGCAGGAUGAAGGCCCUCGGGUUGUAAACUGCUUUUGUACGGAACGAAAAGGCCUGGGUUAAUACCUCGGGCUCAUGACGG
rnacentral:rRNA from 1 species